GAGCAUAAUGAGAUAUGCUAACCUCUUACAAAAUUCCGAAUAAACUCCUGAAACUCCUAAAAUGUUAAUUAGUCCUCUUGUGCUGUAUGCUUAUCACAUCUGUUUAGUUAUGCCACCAUAGACAUGUUCCCUGGAAUUCUUCUUCUAGUUUGUGACUUCUAGUUAAUGAUGUCAUAAGCCUUUCUCAGCACAUAGUGGCACCAAAAUUCUCUCGUCACUUGGUACAUAGUUCAUAGGGAUGGGAGCAGAGAGAAUCAGGUUUGUGGGCCUGGAUUUUAGUUCUGAACUUGUACUAGUUGAUGCAUUUCUAAAACUGUACUUAAAGAAACACAUGCAUGCCCAGGCCCACCUUAGCCAUUUUUAUAUAGUCAGACUUGAGUGAAGCAAAAAUACCUGUGAUUUUCACAAAGUGUUUCUGAAGCACAGCUCUGCUCAGAGCCCUUGCUUUACAGAUUCCGAUAGUGUCAAAUCAAUGUCAUUUAGUCUGAGUCCUCUGGAAAGCUGAGCCUGAAGCAAUGAUUAUGAUUCUAAUAGUUUAUUUUCCAGAUACAAUCACAUCACAGGAUGUUGAGAUGUCCAAGUAAAAACAGCUGUUGUACUAAGAGAAAACUUCAGAUUUCUGGAGAAAAGCAUCCAUAAAUGGCUCCUGCAUAAAUGGUUCCUGAAGUAUAUGCAAAAUGGGAAGUGGCAGCACUUACAAGAUUUUUUAAAAAGCUUUAUUUGAAGAAAAUAUAUUCUCAAAACCA